CCAUCAAUGGUAUAGUGGCAAGCAUAGCUGCCUUCCAAGCGUUGACCUGGGUUUGAUUCCCAGUCAGUGCA